rnacentral:rRNA from 1 species
GUCCUGGCCGUAAACGUUGUCAACUCGGUGGUGAUUGUGUCGAUCCAAGCACUAUCCAAGCUAACGUGAUAAGUUGACCGCCUGGGGAGUAUGCGCGCAAGCGUGAAACUCAAAGGAAUUGACGGGGGCCCGCACAAGCGGUGGAGCAUGUGGUUUAAUUCGAUGAUACGCGAGGAACCUUACCUGGGUUUGACAUUCAGAUGACUGGUGUGAAAUCCACCUUCCUUUCGGGGCAUCUGAACAGGUGCUGCAUGGCUGUCGU